rnacentral:sRNA from 1 species
AGUCCAAAACACUAACCAAGCUUCUUCUUACUUCCCAAAGCUUUGAUGGUGUAGCCCAAGUCCGUAUGAGUCUUUGGCUUUGUAUCUCUACUAAUAAGGAGACUCUACUUAGGCUUCUAAGAUCUCGUUGAGGUUCUAGUUCUUAUACUCAAUCAUACACAUGACAUCUAGUCAUAUUUGACUCCAAAACACUAAUCAAGCUUCUUCUUGCUUUUCAAAGAUUUGAUACUGAAGCUGAAGUCUAUAU